GACGAACGCUGGCGGCGUGCUUAGCACAUGCAAGUCGUACGGUAAGGCCCUUUCGGGGGUACACGAGUGGCGAACGGGUGAGUAACACGUGAGUAACCUGCCCACAACUUUGGGAUAACGCUAGGAAACUGGUGCUAAUACUGGAUAUGUGCCCCUGCUGCAUGGUGGGGGUUGGAAAGCUCCGGCGGUUGUGGAUGGACUCGCGGCCUAUCAGCUUGUUGGUGGGGUAGUGGCCUACCAAGGCGGCGACGGGUAGCCGGCCUGAGAGGGUGACCGGCCACAUUGGGACUGAGAUACGGCCCAGACUCCUACGGGAGGCAGCAGUGGGGAAUAUUGCACAAUGGGCGCAAGCCUGAUGCAGCAACGCCGCGUGCGGGAUGACGGCCUUCGGGUUGUAAACCGCUUUCAGCAGGGACGAAGCUUUUUGUGACGGUACCUGCAGAAGAAGCACCGGCUAACUACGUG
rnacentral:rRNA from 1 species